rnacentral:tRNA from 1 species
GGGCGGGUAGCUCAGUUGGAAGAGCAAUUGGUUUACACCCAAUAGGUCACAGGUUCGAGCCCUGUUCCGCCCA